rnacentral:tRNA from 1 species
AUAAUUUUUAAAUUUUAUGGUCUUAUAUUCAUAGUUUAUGAUAUUAAAUUGCAAAUUUAAAGGAGUAUUUUAUACUAAGACUU